rnacentral:rRNA from 1 species
UGGGGAAUAUUGGACAAUGGGCGAAAGCCUGAUCCAGCCAUGCCGCGUGUGUGAAGAAGGUCUUCGGAUUGUAAAGCACUUUAAGUUGGGAGGAAGGGCAGUAAGCGAGUACCUUGCUGUUUUGACGUUACCGACAGAAUAAGCACCGGCUAACUCUGUGCCAGCAGCCGCUGUAAUACAGAGGGUGCAAGCGUUAAUCGGAAUUACUGGGCGUGAAGUGCGCGUAGGUGGUUCGUUAAGUUGAAUGUGAAAGCCCCGGGCUCAACCUGGCAACUACAUCCAAAACUGGCGAGCUAGAGUGAGGCAGAGGGUGGUGGAAUUUCCUGUGUAGCGGUGAGAUGCGUAGAUAUAGGAAGGAACACCAGUGGCGAAGGCGACCACCUGGGCUCAUACUGACACUGAGGUGCGAAAGCGUGGGGAGCAAACAGG